rnacentral:rRNA from 1 species
ACGCUGGCGGCGUGCCUAAUACAUGCAAGUCGAACGCUGGAGAUCUAGCUUGCUAGAUCGAAGGAGUGGCGAACGGGUGAGUAAUACAUAAGCAACCUACCCACGAAGACUGGGAUAAUCUCUGGAAACGGGGACUAAUGCCGGAUAGGUAAUCGGAAGGCAUCUUCUGAUUAUUAAGGGUUAAAAACACUGGUGGAUGGGCUUAUGGCGCAUUAGUUAGUUGGUGAGGUAACGGCCCACCAAGACGAUGAUGCGUAGCCGGCCUGAGAGGGUGAACGGCCACAUUGGGACUGAGACACGGCCCAGACUCCUACGGGAGGCAGCAGUAGGGAAUUUUCGGCAAUGGGGGAAACCCUGACCGAGCAACGCCGCGUGAGUGAUGACGGCCUUCGGGUUGUAAAGCUCUGUUGUAAGGGAAGAACGGUAGAUAGAGAAUAUCUAAGUGACGGUACCUUACCAGAAAGCCACGGCUAACUACGUGCCAGCAGCCGCGGUAAUACGUAGGUGGCGAGCGUUAUCCGGAAUUAUUGGGCGUAAAGGGUGCGUAGGCGGCCUGUUAAGUAAGUGGUUAAAUUGUUGGGCUCAACCCAAUCCAGCCACUUAAACUGGCAGGCUAGAGUAUUGGAGAGGCAAGUGGAAUUCCAUGUGUAGCGGUAAAAUGCGUAGAUAUAUGGAGGAACACCAGUGGCGAAGGCGGCUUGCUAGCCAAAGACUGACGCUCAUGCACGAAAGCGUGGGGAGCAAAUAGGAUUAGAUACCCUAGUAGUCCACGCCGUAAACGAUGAAUACUAAGUAUUGGGGAAACUCAGUGCUGCAGCUAACGCAAUAAGUAUUCCGCCUGUGGAGUAUGCACGCAAGUGUGAAACAUAAAGGAAUUGACGGGGGCCCGCACAAGCGGUGGAGUAUGUGG